GAGCGCCGUUGUACUACUAAGGCUCAGCCUUGCGGUGGCCGCUCCCCCUUUUACAAGAAGGGGACGGCUCAAACUCGUGGGCGUCUUCGCACGACGAUCCAGCGUAGCAAGUCUCUCGCUGUGGUCAGUGUCGCUGUGUGAGGCGCCAGUUUCAACGAACGUUUGGCCUCGGAUCAGGUAGGGAUACCCGCUGAACUUAA
rnacentral:misc_RNA from 1 species